rnacentral:rRNA from 1 species
UCUUGGUCAUUUAGAGGAAGUAAAAGUCGUAACAAGGUUUCCGUAGGUGAACCUGCGGAAGGAUCAUUAAUGAAACUUCAAAGUCGGCCAAAGGUUGUUGCUGGUGAUUAUUCACAUGUGCACGCCUUUGGUCGCAAAUCCACACACACCUGUGCAUCUAUGACUCGAGGUUGUAAUGACUGAGAGUAACUUUUAUACACUCUUGUAUGUAAUGGAAUGUCUUUUUGUGCUAUAAUGUACAAUAUAAACAACUUUCAACAACGGAUCUCUUGGCUCUCGCAUCGAUGAAGAACGCAGCGAAAUGCGAUAAGUAAUGUGAAUUGCAGAAUUCAGUGAAUCAUCGAAUCUUUGAACGCACCUUGCACCCUUUGGUAUUCCGAAGGGUACACCCGUUUGAGUGUCAUUGUAAUCUCACUUCUACAACUUUAUUGUUGUUUGAAUGUGGACUUGGAUGUUGCCGUUUUAUCACGGCUCAUCUUAAAUGCCUGAGUGUACCCUGUUUUGCAGCGUAUCCAGUGUAAUAAACAUUUCACUAGAGUUGGUCGAAAGACCGCGUUGACUAUAUGGGCUCUAUGCUUCAAACCGUCUGCCAUGUGGACAAUUUCUUGACAAUUUGACCUCAAAUCGGGUGGGACUACCCGCUGAACUUAAGCAUAUCAAUAAGCGGAGGAAAAGAAACUAACAAGGAUUCCCCUAGUAACGGCGAGUGAAGAGGGAAAAGCUCAAAUUUUAAAUCUGGUGUCUUUGACUCCCGAGUUGUAAUCUAGAGAAGUGUUUUCCGUGUCGGACCGUGUACAAGUUCCCUGGAACGGGGCGUCAUAGAGGGUGAGAAUCCCGUAUAUGCCACGGACUACCGAUGCUCUGUGAUACACUCUCAACGAGUCGAGUUGUUUGGGAAUGCAGCUCAAAAUGGGUGGUAAAUUCCAUCUAAAGCUAAAUAUUGGCGAGAGACCGAUAGCGAACAAGUACCGUGAGGGAAAGAUGAAAAGCACUUUGGAAAGAGAGUGAAACAGUACGUGAAAUUGUUGAAAGGGAAGCGUUUGAAGUCAGUCGCAUCUGUUGGGGUUCAGCCUGGCUUUUGCCUGGUGUAUUUCCUUUCCGAUGGGUCAGCAUCAGUUUCGACCGAGGGAAAAAGACAUUUGGAAUGUGGCUGUCUUCGGGCAGUGUUAUAGCCUUGUGUUGUAUGUCUCGGUUGGGACUGAGGAUUGCAGCGCGCCAUAAAUGGCCGGGGGUCGCUCCUCUCGACACGCGCUUAGGAUGCUGGCAUAAUGGCUUUAAGCGACCCGUCUUG